rnacentral:tRNA from 1 species
UCCCCCAGGUGCCGGAGCCGGUGUGGCGGCGGCUGGAGUCCGUCGACGGCCGGGAGUUCGCGGCCGCCGUGGGCGGG